rnacentral:rRNA from 1 species
CGGACGACUCUCGGCAACGGAUAUCUCGGCUCUCGCAUCGAUGAAGAACGUAGCGAAAUGCGAUACUUGGUGUGAAUUGCAGAAUCCCGUGAACCAUCGAGUCUUUGAACGCAAGUUGCGCCCGAGGCCAUCCGGCCAAGGGCACGCCUGCCUGGGCGUCACGA